rnacentral:rRNA from 1 species
UACGUAGGGGGCAAGCGUUGUCCGGAAUCACUGGGCGUAAAGGGCGCGUAGGCGGCCCGCUAAGUCGAACGUGAAAUCCCCAGGCUCAACCUGGGAACUGCGUCCGAUACUGGCAGGCUUGAAUCCGGGAGAGGGAUGUGGAAUUCCAGGUGUAGCGGUGAAAUGCGUAGAUAUCUGGAGGAACACCGGUGGCGAAGGCGGCAUCCUGGACCGGUAUUGACGCUGAGGCGCGAAAGCUAGGGGAGCAAACGGG